AGCGAACGCUGGCGGCAGGCCUAACACAUGCAAGUCGAACGAACUCUUCGGAGUUAGUGGCGGACGGGUGAGUAACACGUGGGAACGUGCCUUUUGGUUCGGAAUAACUCAGGGAAACUUGUGCUAAUACCGAAUGUGCCCUUCGGGGGAAAGAUUUAUCGCCAUUAGAGCGGCCCGCGUCUGAUUAGCUAGUUGGUGAGGUAACGGCUCACCAAGGCGACGAUCAGUAGCUGGUCUGAGAGGAUGACCAGCCACACUGGGACUGAGACACGGCCCAGACUCCUACGGGAGGCAGCAGUGGGGAAUCUUGCGCAAUGGGCGAAAGCCUGACGCAGCCAUGCCGCGUGAAUGAUGAAGGUCUUAGGAUUGUAAAAUUCUUUCACCGGGGACGAUAAUGACGGUACCCGGAGAGGAAGCCCCGGCUAACUUCGUG
rnacentral:rRNA from 1 species